GUGUGUGUGUGUGUGUGUGUGUGUGGUGUGUGUGUGUGUGUGUGUGUGUGUACCUGGUAUGUGUGAUUGUGUGUGCGGGAGUUUGCAAGCAAAUUGAAGACAUCAGGCUCUGUUCCGUACGUGUGUGUGUGUGUGUGUGUGUGUGCACAAUUUAAAACGGAUAUUUAUGCGAGAAAAAAGCCCACCCCAUCGCUGCAGGAGAGGGCACUACGAAGCAUCCUCCAACAGCUAGAGGACACUUCCAUCUUCCCGAAACGGUCGUAAUUUGUACCAUCCCUCUCCCCACCUUCCUUCCCCCCGCACAGUCCUUUCCGGCAGGCUGCACAAAAAAAAAACGCGAGAAGAAAAUCCUUUGUGCUGCCAAGGGGGCCGACACGGGCGCGUAUCGCAGCAAUCGGAGGAAAAUUCUAUCCCAUAGUUGCCAUAGCCGCAGACUCCCGUUGUGUUGUAGUAGGCUUGCCUUCCCCCCGAACACCUUCUCAGUAGUACACUAAACGUGUAGUGAACCACACACACACAUGCAGACAGACACAGAAGAGUUUGGGUGGUGGUUCCUUUCUUUGUAGCAUCUCAGCACACCCUGAACGUGUAAGCGUCGCCUCCCCGCCACUCCCUUGAGUAUCCUCCCCUCAUCCCUCGCUUUCGUACAGUUGGACUCUUCAAUCGUGGCGGUGUAAACGCGAAUAGAUAAAGAAGUGAACAGAACAGAAGAGACCGAGUGCCGAGGCAUCUGGUACAACAAUGAGUCUAACCUAGAUUGGGUCCGCAAAGCUAACCGAUAGUAUAGAACCUACCCUAAUAAAGGGUUCGGCAGAAAAUUACGCUAUCCGAGAAAAGUUAGCAAACCGCAACAGCCGCCACACUGUCCACAGCAACAACCAACAGCAUCAUCCUCCACCAGCAGCAGCAGCAGCAAACCCUCACCGCAACAGCAGCAGCAGCAGCAGCAGCUUCAUUCCGCCGACGUACCGCAUUCCAGUACAUCGCAGUCCUCGCGCCGUCCGCAGCACUCUUCUACGUCCGCUUCCUCGUCGUCGGUACCGACCCUUCCCACCACCUCGGGCGAGCCACGGGCCGCUGGCAGUAGCAGCAGUAACAGUCGACGCAACUCGAAGCAACUGCAACGCGACGAGCUGGCCGCCAAGAUGGGCAAGCACGACAUGAAGCGCGGCAUCUCCCAGCGAUCCUCGGAUGCCGGCGGUGAGCCAUUGCGCCGUGGGACUUGUACCGGAGCAACGGGACGCCGGCAGCCGCAUCCAUAUAGGGCCGCCCGGGCUGGCCAAACAUGGCAGCGACUGCUUUCGGUCACCACCUGUGGCCUGCUGCUGCUGCUUCUCGGAGCCACCGUGUGUCGGGGCGCGAAUGGGGCCACGGCAGCCAACGACGCCUGCCUGGAGUGCUUUCUGGCGGUGGAGGAGCACGAGCAGCCGUACGAGCUAACGGUAGAAGCGAGCAGCGACCGUGGCCUUUCCGUGCACGGUCCAACCGAGCUGGGCGUGCUGGUGCGCCCGAUGCAUCCACCGAACGGGACCUGCGCCUGGGACCAUGCCGGCGAGCUGGCGAGCGAUCUGUACGCGCUGUACGACGAGCAGCUGGACCGGCGCUGUAUGCGCACCGGCACUACGCACCACGAGGCGGACGCAAUCGAGCAAACGUUCUACUGCUUCGACCCGAACGUUCUGCUCGCGCUGUGCAAGCUGCGCAAGGAGACGGAGCUGCGCCGGCUGGAGCGACUCUCCACCCAGCGCACCAAGCGUGACUUUCACCCGACGGGCUGCAGCCUGAACAAUCUGCUCUCCACCAACCGGAAGGUGUACGAGUUCGGGCUGGAGCACGAGGGGCUGAAACCACCGUCCCAGAUCAUACUCAGCACCAUCUUCCUGGUGACGGACGUGCUUUCCGAGUUUUACAACCGUCGUAUCGCGGCCAACGCUAAUGGGCUGUUCUACGAUCGGGCCGGCAGUGUGCCGGGAGGGUCCGAUUCAGCACCGCCGAAAAGCAAUCCCCCGCUCGAGGUGAUUCUGCUGCAAACGAUCAAACACCAGAUCCUGCACAAGCUGGGGCUGCGAGAGCGGCCGCGUCUUACCAAGCACCUGAACAACGAGCACGUGUUCGAAGCGUUCGAUCGGAUCUACGGCAACAAGAUCAACAUCGGGAACACGUACGCGGAGGAGCACUACUACCGCCGCUACCUGACCGCUAACCUUUCGUCCGACCUGUCGGGGGAUUUUGUGGACGCGUUCUUCCGCGGCCCAGACUCGGGCACGGAUCGUCACAGCGAGAAGCAGCAGCAGCAGCAGCAGCAGCAGCAGCAACAGUCGCAGCAGCAGCACCACCAACAGCCGGGAGGAGGCCCACUGCCUGCCCAGAGUGCUAAGCAGCGCACGAAAAGCAAACCUGGCGGGGCAGGAGCCGAACAUGCCGGUGGCGGCACGACCGGCGACAAGCACAAUCUCUUUGCCGGCACGAAAAUUCUUUCCUACGCCGAAAAAGGUUCGACAUAUUAGGUCGCACGGCACGAUCGUACGUCGUGUCGGGGCAUCCGAUUUCCUUUCCAUAAAGAUGUGAUACGUCGGUCGUUGGUGGCGGUCGUUUUGUUCUGCUCCGAUUGAAUGCCACACCACCGAAGAAAUGCCAUUUACAUACGUGAUCGUUUGACACGAUUUUGUUUUUUGUGUAAUUUUAACCUUAAAAUGAAGGGAACAUGGGGGAAUCUAUUUCCGUUGCAAAUGAGGGAAGGGACACAGGGGACGUAACUUUUCUACUUCCAGCAGCUUCUAGUUUCGUUCACAGAGCAAGGCUUCGCUCCGAAAAACACCCACACUCUCUUAUCCACCCAACAAGACACACCACUCACGAUCACGACCACCACCACUACUACUACUACUACUACUACUACUACUACUACUAUUGCUACCUUUACCCAUCCACGUCUGUCUAUCUGUGUAAUGAGACAACACGAUACACACUGUUCCGACCAACCACACAAACCCCAGCCAACACUAGUCUCCCAAGCAUUAUGCUUCAACAAAUUUAGUUGGCAAAUUUACACAAAGCGUCCGACGAAUAGUGCAAGACGUUAAGGAUGAAGGUUCG